rnacentral:rRNA from 1 species
GGGAGGUAAUGGUUCACCAAGGGGGACGAUGCGUAGCCGACCUGAGAGGGUGAUCGGCCACACUGGGACUGAGACACGGCCCAGAUUCCUACGGGAGGCAGCAGUAGGGAUCUUCCGCAAUGGACGAAAGUCUGACGGAGCAACGCCGCGUGAGUGAUGAAGGUUUUCGGAUCGUAAAACUCUGUUGUUAGGGAAGAACACGUACGAGAGUAACUGCUCGUACCUUGACGGUACCUAACCAGAAAGCCACGGCUAACUACGUGCCAGCAGCCGCGGUAAUACGUAGGUGGCAAGCGUUGUCCGGAAUUAUUGGGCGUAAAGCGCGCGCAGGUGGUUCCUUAAGUCUGAUGUGAAAGCCCCCGGCUCAACCGGGGAGGGUCAUUGGAAACUGGGGAACUUGAGUGCAGGAGAGGAAAGUGGAAUUCCACGUGUAGCGGUGAAAUGCGUAGAUAUGUGGAGGAACACCAGUGGCGAAGGCGACUUUCUGGCCUGUAACUGACACUGAGGCGCGAAAGCGUGGGGAGCAAACAGGAUUAGAUACCCUGGUAGUCCACGCCGUAAACGAUGAGUGCUAAGUGUUGGGGGGUUUCCGCCCCUCAGUGCUGCAGCUAACGCAUUAAGCACUCCGCCUGGGGAGUACGGCCGCAAGGCUGAAACUCAAAGGAAUUGACGGGGGCCCGCACAAGCGGUGGAGCAUGUGGUUUAAUUCGAAGCAACGCGAAGAACCUUACCAGGUCUUGACAUCCCAUUGCCCGGUCUAGAGAUAGACUUUUCCCUUCGGGGACAAUGGUGACAGGUGGUGCAUGGUUGUCGUCAGCUCGUGUCGUGAGAUGUUGGGUUAAGUCCCGCAACGAGCGCAACCCUUGAUCUUAGUUGCCAGCAUUCAGUUGGGCACUCUAAGGUGACUGCCGGUGACAAACCGGAGGAAGGUGGGGAUGACGUCAAAUCAUCAUGCCCCUUAUGACCUGGGCUACACACGUGCUACAAUGGACGAUACAAAGGGCAGCAAGACCGCGAGGUGGAGCCAAUCCCAUAAAAUCGUUCUCAGUUCGGAUUGUAGGCUGCAACUCGCCUACAUGAAGCUGGAAUCGCUAGUAAUC